AAUGGGGCUAGUGGGCUAGGCUUUAUGGGCUUGAGGAAAGUGAGGAAACAAUCCUUUCCUAAUUGUAUCGUUUGUUUGGCGUCAAAGACUCAUCGGAAGGCAGUGUCUGAAUCUGCGAGGGGACGAAUAUUUUGGCGGAGAUGGCGUUUUGCUCUCCCUCUACACCAGCCAAGUUGGCAGUGACAGUUGCUUCCUUCCUUGGGAGCGUGGCUAUGUUUGCUUACGGUGUGCAUCUUUCCUAUGUGAAUAUUGCCCCUCAACAAGCUCGAACUAAGGCUAGGAACGAUUUUGUCAAGGAUCGAAUAAGAAAGAAAUAUGGGAAAUUAUAGUGUACAUCUAAAGUUGCAAUUUAUAUUAAGGACAGGACCUGUGCCUGGUUUAUUAGUAUGCUGUCUCAUAUAAACAAGAUACAGAAGCUACACUCUUGUUAUAUCCAAAUGGCAUUGUGAACAUCUUGUAGAAUAAGUUUUUAUACAUUUCCUGGAAUUAAUACAAUUGUGCAUGGUUUAUUGGAUA